UAGAACUGAAUACGGCUGUUUUCGUGUCCAAUAUUUAACCGUCCGUCUUAUUUAAAAAUUUUAUAAAAAAAUUAAAAAAAUAAUCACAUAUAAAGUAUCAUUCAUGUUUUAUCAUCUAAUAACAACAAAAAUACUAAUCAUAAAAAAUUUUAAAUAAAACGAACAGUCAAACGUCAGAUACGAAUAGUGCAAAACUACACUUAUU
rfam:Oryza punctata chromosome 5, whole genome shotgun sequence.